AUGAACGCUGGCGGCGUGCCUAAUACAUGCAAGUCGAGCGAACAGAUAAGGAGCUUGCUCCUUUGACGUUAGCGGCGGACGGGUGAGUAACACGUGGGUAACCUACCUAUAAGACUGGGAUAACUUCGGGAAACCGGAGCUAAUACCGGAUAAUAUUUCGAACCGCAUGGUUCGAUAGUGAAAGAUGGUUUUGCUGUCACUUAUAGAUGGACCCGCGCCGUAUUAGCUAGUUGGUAAGGUAACGGCUUACCAAGGCGACGAUACGUAGCCGACCUGAGAGGGUGAUCGGCCACACUGGAACUGAGACACGGUCCAGACUCCUACGGGAGGCAGCAGUAGGGAAUCUUCCGCAAUGGGCGAAAGCCUGACGGAGCAACGCCGCGUGAGUGAUGAAGGUCUUCGGAUCGUAAAACUCUGUUAUUAGGGAAGAACAUACGUGUAAGUAACUGUGCACGUCUUGACGGUACCUAAUCAGAAAGCCACGGCUAACUACGUG
rnacentral:rRNA from 1 species